GCAGAUUGCUGAUGAAAUCCUUGGCAUCGUCGGAGAUCUCAUCGAAUGCCUCGUCGUCGAAAUCCCAGGUGGCUGAGAUGAGGGAAUUGAGGCACAGCCCAGGCUCAAGUAACCUGCCCAAAGAUUCACAGCCAGUGAGACUGGAACCCAGCCGAGCCAAGCCCUAACCGUCCUGGGGGGAAAAAAAGGAGGUCAGUAACCCACGGAAGUUUCCAGAUGCUCAGUCUGAAAGCACCGGAAUGCCUCGCUCUCAAACAUGGAAAAUCAGCAGGGCAGAGACCAGAGCAAACAUUUGCAAGAUAGGUGCGGAGCCUGAAGAGGCAGACACAUAUGGGAGGUCUAGGCAAAGAUAUCUGAGAGUCUCAUAAUCUGGGAUGUUCCAAAGUGACUGAUGUCAGAGAUGAAGCUCAGGCCAAGUCCAGGCAUGGACUGCAAAGGGAUGUUCCGUCGGCAUCACCCCCAGUGGCAGAACCACAGUGGAGGAAGGGACCCUUGGAGCAUGGAAACUUACGAACUGGUUUGAAAAAUCAAAUAUUUAUUAUAAACCGACUGAGGGACCAGCUACUGAAGUUUUGGAGAUGAACAGGACCCGGUUAAUGUCUUCAAGGUAUAAAAGCCCCACAUGGAUGCCCAUUUAUGUCUCUUCUGAAAGACCAUCAAUUUAUACAGACUGCUAGGAGGAAUUCCUAGAGUCUAGUAUCAAACUGGCAUCACUUCAUGUGCAUUUCCUAAGGCCACUUCUUAAGCCCCAUCAAUGCCUCCUUCACACAGCCAGCAUGCUUGUCUCCCCUCACACAAAAUUCCCAAGAACUCCCCUGGCCAUUUGGGCCCCCUCCAGCUGGGACUCCUCUAAACCUGUAUGCUUAAGGCCUCUUUCCCUCAGGACACUUUUGCUGCUGUGUGACCUAAACUAUGCUUGCUGUAGCUUUGGACUCCUUCACACUUCAGAUGAUAUGAAGGAGAGUUAUUAAUCUUAACUGAACUGUGUCACUCAAAAGCUUUCCAUCCAAUGGGCUGCUGCUGAUGUCAGAGUCGGGAAAGGCCUGGGGUCAGCUGGAGAAACUCCCCAUCUAACUGGCAAGGAAGCCCAGGUCCAGAGGAAUGAAGGGCUUUGACCAAGGCCACAUACUUAAUUACUAGGAGAACCAAGACCUUCAUCUCCUGCUUUCUACCUCAUUGGCUUUCUUGCUGUGUCUUGUGCCUGAUGUUGCCCCAGAACUGAGCAUAGUAAGUUGGCACCUGGAGUCUGACAGGAGUAUUUCUGCCUCCCCAUGCCCUACUCAAGCUUAGGUGGAAGAGUGUGGGGUGUUUCUUCCCUGGGCCUGUGAACUUCUUUCCUGUUCCAUCUCCAAAGGGAGGAGAGGACCCACGCUGGGCUGGGGAAGUACACGAAGUGUUUUAGGAGUGUUAUUAUUAAAUAUUCAACACGAGAAAAAGAUAGCCAUAAAGAACAUUAUUGGAACAACUGACAAUAAAUGUAGACUGUGAAUCAAUUAGACAACAGUAUUGGUUCAAUGUCAAAUGUACUCUUUGAUUUUGAUGUCAAUAGUUGCAUUUUAGUUAUGUUCUUAGGACAACAGAAUAAUUAGAAGUCAAGGGCAUGAUGUCUCCAAUUUGGCCUAAAAUGGUAGGUACCUAUCUCUAUCUAAAUGAAUAAAUAAAUGAAUAUAUAUAGAAAGAAUGACAAAACAGUGAAAUAAAAUGUAAACAACUG